rnacentral:rRNA from 1 species
UACGAAGGGGGCUAGCGUUGCUCGGAAUCACUGGGCGUAAAGCGCGCGUAGGCGGUCUGUUAAGUGGGAUGUGAAAUCCCCGGGCUUAACCUGGGAAUUGCAUUUCAAACUGGCCGACUAGAGUACGGUAGAGGGAGGUAGAAUUUCCUGUGUAGCGGUGAAAUGCGUAGAUAUAGGAAGGAAUACCAGUGGCGAAGGCGGCCUCCUGGAUCGAUACUGACGCUGAGGCGCGAAAGCGUGGGGAGCAAACAGGG